rnacentral:rRNA from 1 species
AGUGAACGCUGGCGGUAGGCCUAACACAUGCAAGUCGAACGCCAGCACGGUAAGCGCUUUCUCUUACGGGUGGCUACUGGCGGACGGGUGAGGCAUACGUCGGAUUCUACUUUUUCGUGGGUGAUUACGUAGGGCAACUUCCGCUACUACCUCAUACUACCUACGGGUUAAAGCUUAUUAUCUUCGGACCUUGCCCCCUUUACUGAGCCGAUCUCGGAUUAGUUAGUUGGCGGGUUAAAGGCCCACCAAGGCGACGAUCCGUAGCUGGUCUGCGAGGAUGGUCAGCCAAACUGGAACUGAGACACGGUCCAGACUCCUACGGGAGGCAGAAGUGGGGAAUAUUGGCAAAGGGGCGCAAGCCGGAUCCAGCCAUACCGCGUGGGUGAAGAAGGCCUUCGGGUGGUAAAGCCCUUUUGUUGGGAAAGAAAAGCAGGAGGUUAAUACCCCGCUGUUCUGACGGUACCCAAAGAAUAAGAAACGGCUAACUUCGUG